UGGGGAAUAUUGGACAAUGGGCGAAAGCCUGAUCCAGCCAUGCCGCGUGUGUGAAGAAGGUCUUCGGAUUGUAAAGCACUUUAAGUUGGGAGGAAGGGCAGUAAGCGAAUACCUUGCUGUUUUGACGUUACCGACAGAAUAAGCACCGGCUAACUCUGUGCCAGCAGCCGCGGUAAUACAGAGGGUGCAAGCGUUAAUCGGAAUUACUGGGCGUAAAGCGCGCGUAGGUGGUUCGUUAAGUUGAAUGUGAAAGCCCCGGGCUCAACCUGGGAACUGCAUCCAAAACUGGCGAGCUAAAGUAGGCAGAGGGUGGUGGAAUUUCCUGUGUAGCGGUGAAAUGCGUAGAUAUAGGAAGGAACACCAGUGGCGAAGGCGACCACCUGGGCUCAUACUGACACUGAGGUGCGAAAGCGUGGGGAGCAAACAGG
rnacentral:rRNA from 1 species